CAGCAUCGUGGCUGUCCCGAUAGGGCCAAUGGCUUAGUCUAGCUCCUGCUGCCCAUGCACCAUCCUGGGGACACUCUCGCUCUCUCUCUCUCUGGGAUCCCUGCAGAGCCACUUCCUGGAGCCCCAUGGUCCUUCCCCGCACUCACCGGAGCAGCUGGGAAAGUAGUUUGCCUUGUAGCUGACCUGCUGUGUCCUCCGGAGUCCUGCAGUCCUGGCAUCCUUCUGGAUCACAGUGAAGACCAUGGAAGCCAUAAUGCCAGAGAAUAAGGUCAGAGUUGGAAGAGUGCACACCUGCUGUGAAGGUGCAGUGCCUCUAAGAGAAGGCCUUCAGCUCCAGGCCUGUACUGUGCAGAAGGGCACCUCAAUGCUAUAUGAAGGAUCAAAGCUUUGCUCUGAGGUAAUAGAUUUUUCUCCUGGAAGAACAGCAAAAAUGAAGCCAGUCGAGAAGAAAACCCAUCGUCAGUUACAGUAU